rnacentral:RNase_P_RNA from 1 species
GAAGUGAGCUAGACGAUCGCUGCUGUGGAGGUCUCCGUGACUAAAACAGGGGAGGAAAGUCCGGGCUUCAAAGGGUAAGGUGCCAGAUAACGUCUGGGCGGCGUGAGCCGACGGCAAGUGCAGCAGAGAGUAGACCGCCUGAUUUUGCUUUUGGCAGAGUCAGGUAAGGGUGAAAGGGUGCGGUAAGAGCGCACCGCAUGGCUGGUAACAGUACAUGGCAAGGUAAACCCCACCUGAAGCAAGACCAAAUAGGAAUCCAUUAGGUGUGACCCGCAUCGGAUUCGGGUAGGUUGCUUGAGCAUGUGAGUAAUUGCAUGCCUAGAGGAAUGAUCGUUCUUGACAGAACCCGGCUUAUCGGCUCACUUCACUA